rnacentral:lncRNA from 1 species
CAUAUGGAACAUCACAUUGAAGCCUGCACGAAAACAACGAUGCGCCAUCUGCAGAAGGUGGCUGAGGAAGAACGAGACCUUGAACUGGGAAAUUCCUUCGGAAAGUUCACCCUGGACUUGAUCGCCCGAUGCGCUUUUGGAACCUACUUGGAUUCUCACUCCGACCAGACCAAUGAUUUCGUGAUUUGUGCCAAAAAAGUAUUCGGCACCAAGAUAUCAGUGCCGCUCAUCAUGUCCUUCAUUCUGCCAGAGUCGUAAAAUUCUUCAGUAUGACGCCUGUGAACUCAGAUGCCCUUGAAUACUUUAGGGGCUUGAGCCGGCGUGUGAUGAAAGAUCGUGUGGAUUCGAAAGCCAGACAAGAUCAUUUUCUGCAAUAUAUGAUCGAUGCGAUGCAAGGAACAUGUGUUCAAAACACUUCCAAAGAAGCCGCUGACAUGGAUGAAAAGACAUUCAAUGUGGACUCGAUGUUGAAUGACUCAAAUGAUUUACCGU